AUCGAAAUGGAGCAAAAGCUCGCCAAUGGAAUUGGCGCCAGGGGACAUUGAAGAAGGAGAAUACAAAAUACAGUACGUUGAGAGAAUCCACAUUGAGGAUAUUAAGAUAAGGAAUUUCUUCCAGAAAGUGCAGCUACAAGAACCAACAUUUAGCCAAGUUGUGGUUGUGUACAGAUUGAGAAAGCAAGAGUACACAUAUGGCAUUCACGUUAGACACUUCAAAGAUAUCCC